UAUUUUAGUUUAAAAAAAAUAUUGGUUUGUGGAACCAACGAUCUAAAAAUCUUUUUUCA
rnacentral:tRNA from 1 species